AACGAACGCUGGCGGCAGGCUUAACACAUGCAAGUCGAACGCCCCGCAAGGGGAGUGGCAGACGGGUGAGUAACGCGUGGGAAAUCUACCGUACCCUACGGAAUAGCUCCGGGAAACUGGAAUUAAUACCGUAUACGCCCUACGGGGGAAAGAUUUAUCGGGGUAUGAUGAGCCCGCGUUGGAUUAGCUAGUUGGUGGGGUAAAGGCCUACCAAGGCUACGAUCCAUAGCUGGUCUGAGAGGAUGAUCAGCCACAUUGGGACUGAGACACGGCCCAAACUCCUACGGGAGGCAGCAGUGGGGAAUAUUGGACAAUGGGCGCAAGCCUGAUCCAGCCAUGCCGCGUGAGUGAUGAAGGUCUUAGGAUUGUAAAGCUCUUUCACCGAUGAAGAUAAUGACGGUAGUCGGAGAAGAAGCCCCGGCUAACUUCGUGCCAGCAGCCGCCGUAAAAC
rnacentral:rRNA from 1 species